rnacentral:rRNA from 1 species
UACGUAGGGCGCAAGCGUUGUCCGGAAUUAUUGGGCGUAAAGAGCUCGUAGGCGGUCUGUUACGUCCGCUGUGAAAACCCAGGGCUUAACCCUGGGCUUGCAGUGGAUACGGGUAGACUAGAGGCAGGUAGGGGAGAAUGGAAUUCCCGGUGUAGCGGUGAAAUGCGCAGAUAUCGGGAGGAACACCGGUGGCGAAGGCGGCCUGCUGGGCAGUUACUGACACUGAGGCGCGACAGCGUGGGGAGCAAACAGG